AAAGGCUGUUUUGUGGUCUCGGGUCAGUGCAUUGACAUUAGUGUCAUGAAGGAGCAAUAGCUCACCUACUAUCUGCAAAAGAAAAUAGGGCCAAUUGGAGUUGGGGACUCAUUGAGGGAAGAAGUGGCGACUGUAGUGGAACAAGCAAAAGAGCAGCAAAACUGAAAAAGAGGUUUCAAAGGCUAAUAGUGGAGGAGGGUUCAAAAGCGGUGAUAGGAUGGUUGAAGAAUUAUGAACAAUCUCUUUGGACCUACAGAAAUGAAAUCAAACAGAUCAGAUGGAUGGCAAGCAACAUGGAAUUAAAA